GCUGGCCCAGGCCCAGGGCAGGCUCGCCUCUGACUCUGCAGGGACAUUCUUCCCUCCCAGCCAGCAGGGAACUUCUGGAACUUCUAAACAGCACAUCCUCGAGCCAGCCCAGGCCCCCACGGCAUCCUGCACCCCAGGUUUACAAGCUUUUUAAUGGAAGAUAACUUUGGCAGCACAAUGGGAAGAAGAUUGGAUGGGAGAGAGAUCAAAGGCUGGGAGACUCUAAGAGGCUGUUGCAGUAUAGUCCAGAGACAGAGUCUCACUCGGUCACCCAGGCCAGAGUGUAGUAGUGCGAUCUCGGCUCACUGCAGUCUGAACCUCCUGGGCACAAGCAAUCCUGCUGCCUCAGCCUCUCAACAACCUGGGACCACAGGUGCAAGCCAUCACACUCAGCUAAUUUUUAACUUUUUUGUAGAGACUUGGGUCUCGCCAUGUUGCCCAGGCUGGUCCUGAACUCCUGGUCUCAAGCAAUCCUCCCACCUCGGCCUCCCAAAAUGCUGGGAUUACAGGUGUUAGCCUCCGUGCCCGACCGGCCUUCACUUUUCACUUGGCCCUCCCACUUUUUCUCUCUUGUCAUUUGUUCAUUGAGGAUUCUGCAUCAUUUGUCCUACAGAAUUUCCCAAAUUCUGGAUUUUGCUGAUGAAAUCCCCCGACCACCACCACCAUUUACCAUCCCUAUCUUCCUCCUGCAUUUCCUGUAAACUGGUGGCUGAUUAUAAAAUUCUUCUCCUUUUUAACAGAAGCAGAGGGAGAAGGAAAGGGGGAAGGGAAUUAUUUAUCAACACCUACUGUGUGCCAGGCACUGUGUGGGUUCUUGUAUAAACAUGAUCUCAUUUAAUCCUCACUGAUACCCUUUGAGGUGAAUAUUUAUUAUCACUAUUCUUACAGAUGAGGAAACUGGGACUCAGAAAAUCUGAGUCUCACAAACUGAUCUGACAAAACUGGAAAAUGAAGGAACCAGGGUUGGAACCUGGCUGUGUUUGACUCCAGAGCCCCUUCUCAUUGCACUACACAGCCCCGGAGUGAAAAGGGGUUUGGCACAUUAGUGAUGGUGCAGGAAGGAGGUCUAGAUAGCCUGAGUCCUGGGACUAUUAUUCAUACUGUUCAGUGUUAAUAAUACACAUUGUGACUUCAUAUGUGCCAAGUACCUUACAUGCAUCACGAGGAUCUGGACAAUGGAUGCUUUAUUAUCCCCAUUUUACUGGUGGGGAAACUGAGACAGUGAGGUCCAGAAAGGGCAAGUGGCUUGCUCUGGGCAGUGCAGGUGGUCUCACCAGGUUUUGCUCCCAGGUUUGUCUGCCAGUGGAGCCCCUGUUUCCACCACUGUCCUACAUGGCCUCUCCUCACGAAUGGCUCCAACCUCCUGGAUGCGAUGGAUGAAGCCGGGUGCAGAGAUGGAAAGUGCAGCCCAACUUUCCUAACUGGAGGACUGAAGCGAGAGCUCUCACUGUCGGCCUAGUGUGGAUUGACUCCUUUCCACCACAUUCCCCAACCAAGGACAGUCUAUACCAAGCUCACAGCACUGAGGCGCUGGGGGACGGCCAGCCCACACCUAGCCCCGUCAAUCUUGGUGGCAUGGACUCCCUCCUAAAGCUUUCUCAGGAGGCCCCAUUUCCUACUGCAGCGGGGCAAGAAUUCAGGAGGAGCCCACUCAAAGGGGAGACAGAGUCAGUGCUCCCUGUGAGCAGCUCUUCCUCCCCAGAGCUGUCAUGGACAAUUGGAGAGAAAAACCGGGACAUUCUCCCCCACCAGGAUAUUUUGUAUGCUUUGCACUUACUGCUGCGUUCCCUUCAUCUAAAAGCUCUAAAAUUUCAAAUAAAAAGGUACAAUGAAAGCAGCAGCAGGAUAAAUAGCCACAGUGAUCUGAGCUGAAACCCUGGAAGCUUUAUUCACAUCUUUAGAAAAACUCUGAAGGCUCCUAGUAGCAGCUGCAGUACAAAGCCUCACACUUUAAUUCUAAGGCUGCCAGAAAUAGGUCUGUCAGGCCUGAAAUAUCACUGCAUUUCAUUACUCUUAAA